UUGUCUCUCGUCCGAAGGACGCCGCAGCCGGUUGGGCAGCGAAAGCGUGACGGCCUGAAGGCGGGGUAAUGGCAGGUGGCCGGUGGCGAACUUCGUGUUCUCCGCCGGUUGUUAGCCGUCUCCGCAGUGGCACGUCGCUCGACCGAGGUAUCACGAGGCCCGCAUGGGCUCCUGUCGUCUCCUCCUAAGCAGUCGGGACAGAGCGUCGCUGGUGAAACGCGCCGUUCCGCCGCACGCACAAAGCGUGGGCGGUCGAACGCGCGGCACCGCAUGCGGCGCCGGGCCCGUCGGAGGUCGACGGCUGGCGGCGAGUAGGUCGGUCACCCACCCGACCCGUCUUGAAACACGGACCAAGGAGUCUAACAUGUGCGCGAGUCAAUGAGUCUUGAACAGGCUCAGGGGCGCAAUGAAAGCAAAGUUCGGCGUCACGUCGAACGAGUCGGGAUCCUUCCCUUUCGUGGGGGAGGCGCACCGACGACCCGUCCUAUCCGGUUCGCCGGUUGGGCGGAGUUUGAGCGUACACGUUGG
rnacentral:rRNA from 1 species